ACUAACUAGGAUUCCCGUAGUAGCGGCGAGCGAACUGGGAAGAGCCCAGCACCGAAUCCCGUCGCCCCCUGGGGUUGGCGGGAAAUGUGGUGUUAGGGAGGGUCCACUAUCCCGUGGUCGCGUGACGAGUCCAAGUCCUUCUUGAACGGGGCCAAUUACCCAUAGAGGGUGCCAGGCCCGUAGUGACCGUCGCCGGCUGCGGGAGGACCUCUCCUCAGAGUCGGGUUGCUUGAGAGUGCAGCCCUAAGUGGGUGGUAAACUCCAUCUAAGGCUAAAUAUAACCACGAGACCGAUAGCGAACAAGUACCGUGAGGGAAAGUUGAAAAGAACUUUGAAGAGAGAGUUCAAUAGUACGUGAAACCGUUCAGGGGUAAACCUGAGAAACCCGAAAGGUCGAAUGGGGAGAUUCAGCGCGUCUCUGGGCGAGCGACUCGCUGUCGUGCGACGGUUCCCGUUUACGGGCGCCGCGUCUUCAGUGGCCGUUUUCGUUCGGAACGCGUGCACUUCUCCCCUAGUAGGACGUCGCGACCCGUUGGGCGCCGGUUUAAGGCCCGUGGUGGAGCCCACGCGAUCGGUUCGCCGAUUCGCGCGGACCCGCGGUGUCCCGGCCGGCACGCUCGACGGAACGACAGUGGCGCGGGGCCGCGUUUACGCGUCCGGCCCGUCGCAAGCGCGGACGGUUACCCGGCGGUCGCACCUGGUGUCGACUCCGGGCCCGCCCGGCUGCUGGCGGCGGUGUUCUCGGACAGUCCCCGAUACGUCGGUCGGCGACGCUAUAGCUUUGGGUACUUUCAGGGCCCGUCUUGAAACACGGACCAAGGAGUCUAGCAUGUGCGCGAGUCAUUGGGACUUUGCGAAACCUAAAGGCGUAAUGAAAGUGAAGGCGUCGCCUUGCGCGCGCCUAGGGAGGAUGGGUCCCGCCACGGCGGGGCCUCGCACUCCCGGGGCGUCUCGUGCUCAUUGCGAGCUGAGGCGCACCCAGAGCGUACACGCUGGGACCCGAAAGAUGGUGAACUAUGCCUGGUCAGGACGAAGUCAGGGGAAACCCUGAUGGAGGUCCGUAGCGAUUCUGACGUGCAAAUCGAUCGUCGGAACUGGGUAUAGGGGCGAAAGACUAAUCGAACCAUCUAGUAGCUGGUUCCCUCCGAAGUUUCCCUCAGGAUAGCUGGCGCUCAAUGUGCGAGUCUCAUCCGGUAAAGCGAAUGAUUAGAGGCAUUGGGGUCGAAACGGCCUCAACCUAUUCUCAAACUUUAAAUGGGUGAGAUCUCCGGCUUGCUUGAACGUGAAGCCGCGAGAUUUCGGAUCAGAG
rnacentral:rRNA from 1 species